AUUUGGCCUUAAUAUCAAACAAACCUAAAACUCAAAGAUUUGUUCUGAGAUUCUAAUAGAAUGUUGUGGUUGCUUACAAGCAUUUCUUAGAAUACUUUUAAUAGAAUCUUCAUGAGGUUGUUUUCCCCAAAAAAGUAAAUCUCUUUAUCAAAAAUUACUAAAACCACCAAAACAUUUCAUGGUCAUUAAAUUCAUUAUUCAAUUCAUGAUUGGGUCUCAAAAAUAAAUAUAUAUAUAUAUACAGCAAGACGAUUCAGUACAUAAUUUGAUUCAAAACAGCACAGGAUGUUUAUGAAGGGCUGCACCCCAAGCCCUUACUAAAUAAACCUUUACGCACCUUGCCACAAUUAAUGUAACUUCACUGAUUUAAAGGGGUCAUAUGAUGUGAUUUCAAGUUUUCCUUUCUCCUUGGAGUGUUACAAGCUCUUGGUGCAUAAACAAGAUCUGUAAAGUUGCGCAGACUUCACAUUCACAUUGAGAAUGAAUUAUGUUUGAAGCUAUUUGAUCUUCUGGACUCCUUUCUCAGCUUCAGUACACUGCAUGAACGCAAAAAGAUGCAACAUUUAUGCAUGUUUAGAAGCAGGUGUCAUUUUUUUUUCCAGUUUGCAAAACAGAUAACUUUUCAUUGUGCAUUCUAAUUAAUCUCAAUCAAACUGCAGUUGGGUUAUUUUGAUUAAGUAAAAAUAACUAAAAAAAAAUAAUAAUAAAUAAAUAAAUAAAUUAACAAUAAAACAAUAAAGACAUGAGAAAAUCAGAGUUAUCUGUAUAUGUCCAAUGUCUUUAUUAUAGGAUUAUAACAGAAUUUCACAAUCCGUAGUCUAACCUCCCCUAAAGUUUGCAGAGAAACCACAAUGGCAGCUAUUUUACAAGAGUAGAAUUUUGCUUCAGUAUGCCUUUAUAAUUUUUUUUACAAGCCCACCAUGUAAACACUGAAACCUCAGUAAAGGUAAUACUGUAACACAAAAUGAUAGAUAAGGAUAUUUAUUCUCUAUUUUAUUCUUAAAUAUUACAUGAAAUUAAAGAUUUUUCGAGGCACUUUUAUUUGUAUGAAAUUUUGCUAUUAAACAUUUAGGGUAAUAAUUUCAGUACUGAGCUUGCACAAUGAAAUUAUUUCUUCUCUCAUUUCCAAUGGCUUGUGAGUGGAAAGUAGGUGUAUUGGCUUAAUCAUUAUUUUAUACUGUCCACUAAUUAUUGUGUUGUCAGUGUGUAUCUUUCAUUUGUAUUAACGAUAAGAGCGGUAGUGUUUCAAAUCAAGACGUCACGGACCGCCCACGUUACAUCUGCUAGCUGACUGACGCACAUUGCGUGUGGAAGGAAUGUACCAAAGGAUUUUAAACUUUGUUUAUCUUUUGCUUGACUAGACGAUAAUUCCACUUUAAAUUGUGGU
rnacentral:lncRNA from 1 species